rnacentral:rRNA from 1 species
AGAGUUUGAUCAUGGCUCAGGAUGAACGCUGGCUGUGUGCCUAAACCGUGCAUGUUGAACGAAGCUAAAAGCGCUUGCACUUUAAGACUUAGUAGCGAAUGGGUGAGUAACACGUACUUAACCUACCCCUAAGUUUGGGAUAACGUUUGGAAACGAACGCUAAUACCGAAUACGUAUUUUUAUCGCAUGAUAGAAAUAUAAAAGGAGCUUCGGCUUCACUAGGGGAUGGGAGUGCGCUACAUUAGUUAGUUGGUAGGGUAAUGGCCUACCAAGACGAUGAUGUAUAGCGGGGCCGAGAGGCUGAUCCGCCACACUGGGACUGAGAUACGGCCCAGACUCCUACGGGAGGCAGCAGUAGGGAAUUUUCCACAAUGAACGAAAGUUUGAUGGAGCGACACAGCGUGCAGGAUGAAGGUCUUCGGAUCGUAAACUGUUGUUAUAAGAGAAGAAAAACCUUGGUAGGCAAUGACCAAGACUUGACGGUACCUUAUCAGAAAGCGACGGCUAACUAUGUGCCAGCAGCCGCGGUAAU